rnacentral:lncRNA from 1 species
UAGUGAUAAAGAUUAUAACCCAAUGUUGAUUGCUAUACCCCUAUUUCUAUAUUUUAACCUAUUAUGUCCGGGUUUUUUUCACACAUUGUUGUCAAUAUAUUGAAUUUUAUUCAACUGUCAUGCAAGUGAGAGGUUUAGCUAGCUAUAUAUAUAAACCCAGGUUCAAUCAACAAUGUCUACAUAAGAAUAUACCUGUACCAAGUCAGGAAUUUUACCGUUUUUCCCAUUUGAUUAGGGUCUUUCCGUUUUUACGUUUGAAUUUUCAUCGGAGUUCAGUAUUUUUAGGAUUUACCUUUUACAAGUAAAAUUGGAAGAUGUGGGAUGAAUGCAAACAUGAUCAAUUUGCAUAUUACAUAUGAUUUGUAAUUUUUUUUCUUACUAAACCAAAUUAAUGACAGGUUAUAUUUUCUAUACCUCUGUAGUAUAUACAUAUCGGUGUGGUAUCUCCAUUUAAUGAUUUGGAACAUCGCCAGUUUGUUAGUUUGUAGAAUAGUUAUCAAUUUAAGUAUUUCAAAUUUUAAUCCUGGUCUCUAUGAAUAGUUUGAUGGGAACCGUUCAUUGAAAAAGAUAAAUUGUAUCAAAUGUCUGGUUAAGUAAUGUAUAUCAGUUGUUUCCUGUAAUUAGUUAAUAUUUCAGUUUUAUCAUGUACAGCUUUUGUUUAGUAAUUUUAUAAAUUUACUGUUUGCAAAAGUAUAAAUUAUUCUAAAUAAUAGGGAUGUUCUGGUAACUAACAAAAAACCCUGGCCGUUUUUGGCACAGCUUUUUUUUUUCUUUUGGUCCUCGAUGCUGUUUGACUUUGUGCUUGUUUCGGCUUUCAAACUUUUGAAUCUGGGCGUCACUAGUAGAUCUUGUGUGGAUAAAAUGCACUUCUGGCGUAUUAACAUUUUCAACUUGUUGCCUUUUGUUGGCUGUUGUUCGUGUGUUUCUUUGUCAAUUGUGUUCUCCAAUUUAUUUAUAUUGUAGUCGUGUGGUGUUGAGUUGUCUUUUUAAUGUUAUAUUUCACAUGGCUAUAAAAGAGGGAGGUUUGGCAUGCCACAAAACCAGGUUCAACCCGCCAUUUUUUUCUUUAAAAAUGUCCUGUACCAAGUCAGGAAUAUGGCCAUUGUUAUAUUAUAGUUCGUUUCUGUAUGUGUUACAUUUUAACGUUGCGUCGUUUGUUUUCUCUUAUUUUUUAGUGUAAAUUCACAUUGCGAUAAGACGUGUCACGGUACUUGUCUAUCCCAAAUUCAUGUAUUUGGUUUUGAUGUUAUAUUUGUUAUUCUCGUGGGAUUUUGUCUGUUGAUUGGUCCGUUUCUGUGUGUGUUACAUUGUAGUGUUGUGUCGUUGUUCUCCUCUUAUAUUUAAUGCGUUUCCCUCAGUUUUAGUUUGUUACCCCGAUUUUGUUUUUUG